UGAGACCCUAGCAGGCAGACACACAAGCUGCUGGACGUCGAGAGGAGCAGAUAGGCAGAGGAACACACGGGUGGCUGGAUGUCGAGAGGAAUACAGUAACAGGCACCUGCAUGCCGGCAGGCCACCGAUUUGCAGAACAACAACGUGGAGUUUGGCUGCGGCAGUGAGAGGACAGCCCAGGCUGCUCAGCUGCCGGGAUCCAGGAGAAACCUUCCCACUCCAUCCCCUUUUGGCUUCCGCCAUGUGAUAUCUCCACUCAAUACAACCUUGUGCUCAUUCUCCAAGCCCAUGAUGUGAUCUGCUUCUGGUACACCAAGGCAAGAACCCUGGGAUGCACAAAGCCCUCUGUCCUUGUGAUAAGGCAGGGGUCUAAUUGAGCUAACACGAGCUGUGUAUACCUAGCUAAACUAAAAGAGUACCCUGUAACACAUUCCCCCUGGGGCUUCCGGAGCUGUUAACAUUCACCCCUAGACACUGCCCUGGGGUUGGAGCCCCACAGCCUGCCCGCCUGUAUGCUGCCCUAGAGGUCUGAGCCUCGGGGCACUGAAAAAGCGAGCCACUCCGCUGCCCCAUAGCAAGACCCGCCAUGGGGAUAAAGGAAUUUUUCCUGUUUCAACUGGGGACUUCGCCUGAGAUCCUGGAAGGUACAAGGCUCUGCUUCCUU
rnacentral:lncRNA from 10 species